rnacentral:tRNA from 1 species
ACGCUCUUAGUUCAGUUCGGUAGAACGCGGGUCUCCAAAACCCGAUGUCGUAGGUUCAAAUCCUACGGAGCGUG